UCUGGUUAAUUCCGUUGACGAACGAGACCUUAACCUGCUAAAUAGGAUCAAGAACACAGUUUAUUGUUGUGUUUUUGUAUCACUUCUUAGAGGGACUUUGCGUNUCUAACGCAAGGAAGUUUGAGGCAAUAACAGGUCUGUGAUGCCCUUAGAUGUUCUGGGCUGCACGCGCGCUACACUGAUGCAUCCAACAAGUA
rnacentral:rRNA from 1 species